rnacentral:rRNA from 1 species
UACGUAGGGUGCAAGCGUUGUCCGGAAUUAUUGGGCGUAAAGAGCUCGUAGGCGGUUCGUCGCGUCGGCUGUGAAAUCCCGGAGCUCAACUCCGGGUCUGCAGUCGAUACGGGCGGACUUGAGUACUGCAGGGGAGACUGGAAUUCCUGGUGUAGCGGUGAAAUGCGCAGAUAUCAGGAGGAACACCGGUGGCGAAGGCAGAUCUCUGGGCCGUAACUGACGCUGAGGCGCGAAAGCGUGGGGAGCGAACAGG